UACGUAGGGGGCAAGCGUUGUCCGGAAUCAUUGGGCGUAAAGAGCGUGUAGGCGGCCCGAUAAGUCCGUUGUGAAAUCCCUGGGCUCAACCUGGGAAUGGCAGUGGAUACUGGACGGCUAGAAUGCGGUAGAGGGUAGUGGAAUUCCCGGUGUAGCAGUGAAAUGCGUAGAGAUCGGGAGGAACACCAGUGGCGAAGGCGGCUACCUGGACCAGCAUUGACACUCAAGCACGAAAGCGUGGGGAGCAAACAGG
rnacentral:rRNA from 1 species